GUCCACGCCCUAACGAUGGAUGCUAAGUGUUGGACUUCGGUUCAGUGCUUCAAGCUAACGCAUUAAGCAUCCCGCCUGAGGAGUACGGCCGCAAGGUUAACUCAAAUGAAUAGACGGGACCCGCACAAGCAGUGGAUCAUGUGGUUUAAUUCGAAGCAACGCGAAGAACCUUACCAGGGCUUGACAUACUCUGACAGCUCUAGAGAUAGAGUCUCCCUUCGGGGGCAGAGAUACAGGUGGUGCAUGGUUGUCGU
rnacentral:rRNA from 1 species